GGUCAAGCGAGUAAGCGCAUACGGUGAAUGCCUUGGCAGUUGGAGGCGAUGAAGGACGUAGGAGCCUGCGAUAAGCUUCGGGGAGGUGGCAAACACCCUUUGAUCCGAAGAUUUCCGAAUGGGGAAACCCACCCAGCAUAAGCUGGGUAUCGUGCACUGAAUACAUAGGUGUACGAAGCGAACCCGGAGAACUGAAACAUCUAAGUAACCGGAGGAAAAGAAAUCAACCGAGAUUCCCUAAGUAGCAAGAUCAACCGUUGAUUUGUACGUGGCGUAGUUUUGCCUGAAAAACAUCGCCACAUCGGGACCAAAAAUCACGAAGGCAAUGGGACCUGCAGAACUAUUUAACGAAUCAUAGUAGUGUUCUGACUGGAAGUGAGCUUCGGCGCGACGCAGGGCUUCAGCAAUUUGGCCCGGUUUAUUUUAGAUCAAUUCGCGCCACAUAGCCUGGCG
rnacentral:rRNA from 1 species